CACGGGUGAGUAACGCGUGGAUAAUCUACCCUUAAGAUGGGGAUAACGGCUGGAAACGGUCGCUAAUACCGAAUACGCUCCCGAUUUUAUCGUUGGGGGGAAAGAUGGCCUCUGCUUGCAAGCUAUCGCUUAAGGAUGAGUCCGCGUCCCAUUAGCUAGUUGGCGGGGUAACGGCCCACCAAGGCAACGAUGGGUAGCCGGUCUGAGAGGAUGACCGGCCACACUGGAACUGGAACACGGUCCAG
rnacentral:rRNA from 1 species